rnacentral:rRNA from 1 species
GAUGAACGCUGGCGGCGUGCCUAACACAUGCAAGUCGAGCGGCAGCGAGGGGUGCUUGCACCCUGUCGGCGAGCGGCGGACGGCUGAGUAACGCGUGGGAACGUGCCCCAAAGUGAGGAAUAACUGCCCGAAAGGGUAGCUAAUACCGCAUAUUAUCUUCGGAUCAAAGGAUUUAUCCGCUUUGGGAGCGGCUCGCGUCGGAUUAGGUAGUUGGUGAGGUAAUGGCUCACCAAGCCGACGAUCCGUAGCUGGUCUGAGAGGAUGACCAGCCAGACUGGAACUGAGACACGGUCCAGACUCCUACGGGAGGCAGCAGUGAGGAAUCUUCCACAAUGGGCGAAAGCCUGAUGGAACAACGCCGCGUGCAGGACGAAGGCCUUCGGGUUGUAAACUGCUUUUAUAAGUGAGGAAUAUGACGGUAACUUAUGAAUAAGGAUCGGCUAACUACGUG